UGAGCAAUCUGCCCUUCUCUUUGGAAUAAGCGUUGGAAACGACGUCUAAUGCCGAAUACGACCUCCUUUCGCAUGAUCGGAGGUGGAAAGCUCCGGCGGAGAAGGAUGAGCUCGCGGCCUAUCAGCUAGUUGGUGUGGGUAAUGGCCCACCAAGGCGACGACGGGUAGCCGGCCUGAGAGGGUGACCCGGCCACACUGGGACUGAGACACGGCCCAGACCUCCGUACGGGAGGNAGCG
rnacentral:rRNA from 1 species